ACAAGCCUGCUGAUCCUUGUGUGCUGUCGGUGUUAUUUGCCCAUCACAAACGCUUCAUCGUUAUUGCAGAAACCGCAGAUUUUUCCCCUGGAAUCGAAGGCCGGAUUUUCUACCAUUCUUUGGAUUUGCCUUUCCAUUCGGACUAAUCGAAAACUUCACUCAAAGAUUUUGUAAGAAUCUGUACUCCAUUUGAGAAGUGAAAGGAAAGCAAUGGCACGACAUGACUAGACCCUUGGCCAUGCGGAAACAUAUGGAAACGAGUGUAAAACCUCCAUCAGGAAAAAUAGUGUCCGCAAUAACACCAUGAACGCUAGUGUGUAAUUGGAAUCGAUGGCAAUAUGAAUACAAUUAUUAUAUUUUUACCUUA